rnacentral:sRNA from 1 species
UAAUAGAGUUUGCGGGUCCUGCGUGU